GACGAACCCUUGAUGGCGUGGCUGAUGUGAUUAGGUCUGUCAUAAACAGAUAGUUAAGGGUUAAUAGAACAGGAGUACUUCAUGUCUCUUUUGCCUGUAAAGGGUUAACAAGUCCAGUGAGCCUGGCUGUCACCUGACCAGAGGACCAAUCAGAGGACAGGAUACUUUCAAAUCUUGAGCGAGGGAAGUUUGUGUGUGUGCUGUUAGUUUUUGCUUGUUGUUCACUCUGGGGGCUCAGAGGGACCAGACGUGCAACCAGGUUUCUCUCCAAUCUCUCCGAUACAGGCUCUUAUAAGUUCAGACUAGUGAGUACUAGGUAGAUAAAGCGAGUUAGGCUUAUGGUUGUUUUCUUUAUUUGCAAAUGUGUAUUUGGUUGGAAGGAGUUCAAAUGUGUAUUUGGCUGGAAGGAGUUCAAAUUUGUAUUUUGCUUAAAGGAUUUUAAUUUGUGCUUGAAUACUUAGGCUGGGAGGGUAUUCCUAGUGUCUAUAGCUGGAAGACCCUGUACCUAUUCCAUUUUAAAUUUACAAAGAUAAUUUUUACUGUUUUUCUCUCUUUAAUUAAAAGUUUCUUGUUUAAGAACCUGAUUGUUUUUUCAUUCUGGUGAGACCCCAGGCAACUGGGUCUGGAUCCACCAGGGAAUUGGUGGGGAGAAAGGAGGGAAGGGGGAGAGAAAGGUUAAUUUUCUCUCUGUGUUAGGAUUACUUUCUCUCUCAGGGAAAGUCUGGGAGGGGGAGAGAGAAGGAGGGGGAAAGGUGAAUUUUCCUUUCUGUUUUAAGAUUCAAGGAGUUUGAAUCACAGUGAUCUUCCAGGGUAACCCAGGGAGGGGAAGCCUGGGAGAGGCAACGGUGAGGGAAAGGGUUUACUUUCCUUGUGUUAAGAUCCAGAGGGUCUGGGUCUUGGGGGUCCCCGGGCAAGGUUUUGGGGGGACUGGCAUGUACCAGUCACUGGAAUUCCUGGUUGGUGGCAGCGCUACAAGUACUAAGCUGGUAAUUGAGCUUAGAGGAAUUCAUGCUGGUACCCCAUCUUUUGAAUGCAAAGGUUCAAAGUGGGGUAUUAUACCAUGACAAGGUCCUAUGAUGGUGUCACUUGAAUUGAUAUGUGGACAGAGCCGGCAUUGGGCUUUGUUGCAAGGAUAGGUUCCUGGGUUAGUGUUUAUGUUGUAUGGUGUGCAGCUGCUGGUGAGUAUUUGUUUCAGGUUGGGAGGCUGUCUAUAAGCGAGGACUGGCCUGUCUCCCAGGAUCUGUGAGAGUGAGGGAUCAUCUUUCAGGAUAGGUUGUAGAUCUUUGAUGAUGCGCUGGAGAGGUUUUAGUUGGGGGCUGAAGGUGACUGCUAGUGGCGUUCUGUUAUUUUCUUUAUUGGAUCUGUCCUG